AUUGAACGCUGGCGGCAUGCCUUACACAUGCAAGUCGAACGGCAGCACGGGUGCUUGCACCUGGUGGCGAGUGGCGAACGGGUGAGUAAUACAUCGGAACGUACCUUAUCGUGGGGGAUAACGCAGCGAAAGCUGUGCUAAUACCGCAUACGCCCUGAGGGGGAAAGCGGGGGAUCGAAAGACCUCGCGCGAUUAGAGCGGCCGAUGCCUGAUUAGCUUGUUGGUGGGGUAAAAGCCCACCAAGGCGACGAUCAGUAGCUGGUCUGAGAGGACGAUCAGCCACACUGGGACUGAGACACGGCCCAGACUCCUACGGGAGGCAGCAGUGGGGAAUUUUGGACAAUGGGGGAAACCCUGAUCCAGCAAUGCCGCGUGAGUGAAGAAGGCCUCGGGUUGUAAAGCUCUUUGUCUAGGAAGAAACACCGGCUCUAACACAGUCCGGGAAUGACGGUACCUGAAGAAUAAGCACCGGC
rnacentral:rRNA from 1 species